ACACACACACACACACACCCUCUGUUUUCAGAUGAGGUGUCUGGUUUCUGUCCAAGACCAAAGUCUGCCCUGGAUCUGACUCCUUUUGCCUUUUCUUAGACUUGUUUCAUUAUUGUUUCUGGCUUUCUCUCCUGAAUCUUAAGUCUCUUACUGUCUUCUUCCUCUUUAUCAAAUUUGUCCCAUUCUAAAAUUAGCCUCCUCUGACCCUUCAUAACUUGACUAGCUACUGCCUCACCCUUUUCCCCGUAAGCUUCUAAAAGGCAUAUAAAAUGCCUUCCUUGCCUCCUAGUCCCCUUCUUAACUGUGUCAGAAGCCAAGUUCCCUGGGAACCUCCUUGUGGUUACAGUAGAUGUCUCCAUUCAUAGAUGUCUGGAACUAGAAGUUUCUGGAGAGUUACAGAUGCAGUGUCUGCUGUACAUCCUGCUAGGUGUCCCGCAGGCACUGCACACUCUUUGCUACUUAACUACUAAGCCUUUCUUGUGUUCCCAGCCUCAUUUAGUGGCCUUCCCAGCAACUGGGCCUUCCAGUCCCCAAACCAGGGAGCUACCCUUAGGAACUUUUCUGAGCCCUCAUUCCCUUUUAAUUACUUAGCUCUUGCAUUGCAGCAUGCAUCAGAAUCACCGAGAGGGCUUGUGAAACAGUUACUGGGUGCCAUCCUGGAGUUGGUGACUCCGAAGGUCUGGAGUGGGGUCUGGGGAUCUGCAUUUCUGCAAGGUUCCAGGUGCUGCUGCUGGUUCAGGGAUCAGGCUUAUUGUAAAAACUUGAUGUAAAAUUUACCCAGUUAAAGUGUAUAAUUCAGUAAUUUUUCAUAAGUUUAUCAUGUGCAACCAUCACCAUUGAUAGUUAAUCCCGUUUGUACCUCCACUCCCAGCAAACCUCUAAUCUAUUUUGUACCCCUAUAACUUUUUAUUACUUCCAGACAUUUCAUUUAAAUGGAAUCCUAUAACCUGGAUCUUUAAGUCUGAUUUCUUUCACUUAACAUAAUGUUUAUAAGGUUCACCAUGUUCUAGCACGUAUUAAUAAAUAUUUCUUUUAUUGCUGAACAGAAUUCCAUCAUGUGGAUGUAGGACUAUACUUUGAGAAUCACUGCUUUGGUUCCACUGCCUACUGUCCUUAUUCAGGACCUCACCUUCUCUCUCCUGCACAACUGUUUUUCCCACCUCUUGACUGGAUUUUCUCUCCUUUUCCCCCAUACAUCUGUCACACGUCAACCAGCAAUGUUUCCAGAUGUAAAUCUCAUCAUGUCACUUGCCUGGUCAAAAGUUCUUCAAUAUAAUCAUUGUCCUGUGAGACGAAGCUGUCAUUUCUCACCCUGGCAAACUUAAUAGAACGCUGUCUCUCCAGCUUCAGGUCUUCUCAUUCCCUGCCUUGAAAUUCGGGGUGCAGUAGCACUGAACUGUUUGUAAAUCCUUUCCAUCCCCAAACAUCAUGCUGUUUUCCUGCCCCUCAAGCCCUUGGCUCAAGUGUGCCCUUGACCUGGAAUGUCCCUGUGCCUAACACCUACUCAUCAUUUGAAACUCUUCAUAGAUGCUUCACUGCUUUCUCCCAGAGUCCUUCCCUUUGAAUCCCAGGUGGGGUUUGCCCCUGCACUUAAGACUUCCAUGAUCCUCUGUGCCUUUCUCAAUUAUUUUAUUACAACACUGUAUUAAUCUAUUCUCUUGCCCACCAGGCUGUGAGAUAUUUGCUAUUUGCACUGGGAUGCUCAGCACCCAGCCCAAUACCUGUACAUAGUAGGUGCUUAUUACAUGUUUGUUGAAUAAACACUGAUGGGUGGCUGUCUGGAAGCAUUUCUUCUGUCCCCAUCUGCUCAGGCCCUGCAACACAUACUCUUAAGCAGUUAACAUGCUCAGGCCUUUUAAGGCAAUCACUAAAUCUUUCCACGUGGACAAAAUAAAACUGUGAAGGCAACAGGCCAAGAGAUCCAGGACUUUUUUUUUUUUUUCCUUGGCUGCAUUGUUUCCUGCUUUGCACUUAGAGAACGCCUUUUGGCCCUAAUGGAAGUUCUGAGGUCAAAGCAGGGCACUGGGAAGAUUAUUGCCCAUAAACUACCUGAUGCCAGCAACAGCCAGUUUUCCUCAUGGGCUGUAGGACAUAGGAGGACCCACUGGGCCGAGCUGACCAGUGUGAUAGGUAACACACACAGAUGAUUCAAGAUAAUUAGCAUCUAACCAAGUGUCCUUAACCGUCCUAUCCAGAAUGCCUAUCAUCAGGGUGUGAAAGCUGGCUCCCGUGCAGGUGUGUGCCGUGGGAGCUAGCCCACGGCCGGGUUCAAGGAGUUUGUUUCCUGCCAAAGGAUUCCCUUCCCCCUACACCCCUUCUAGCAGAUCAAAGGUAACAUGCCUGGAAAUCAUUUCCCUCUUGGUUUGAGAGUUCUGUGCUUGAAAGCAAAACUACUUGUUUAUAAAGAAAGAAAAAAAAAUGACAGGCAAGACAUCUAGGGGCACAGAGGGAGGAAAGGGAGAAUCAGAGCAUGUUUUAGACUGUAAAGAGCAUCUUUCAUGUGUAUCUAACAUCUAGUGAAAGUCUAAAUCUGGUAAAGGUUUCCUCUUUAGAAAGACCGUGUUCUGUCUUUCAGAGCUAAAUUCAGUACUCACUGUCACGUCACUGCCUAAAACCAUAUUUACGACCAUAUUUGAAGAAUAGAUGUUUCUCUCUGUGCCUGUCACUUUGACCACAUGCCGAGGCUAGGAAUGGACAGAGUUUUAGGUCCAGGGUGUCUAAUUCUUUGCAAAAACAGCAGCAUCAUUGUUACCACUUCCUGGGUACCUACUCUUUGCUUUAUAAUUUUGCUCUACUCAACAAAUUUAUAAGGCAUCUAUGAUACCCCUUUUAUAGAUGAGAAAAUUAAUAAGUUAAAUAACUUGCUCAUGGUCAAAUAGCUAAUACUUUUUACUGUGCUUGUUAAAGUUACAGGAAUGCUAAUAAUCAUAUCAUUCUUUGGCUUUUUUGUUUUUUGAAAGAAAAGAUUAAAACAAGGCCUGUGUAUAUACUUAGGUUAAAUGAUAGUCCCCUCCUCCCCAACCACCUCCCCUUUCUGUCUCUAAUGGCAGUCAUUUUUUUCCUGCCUUGCAACCACAGACAGAUCAUGCAUCUAACAAAUAUUCUAUCAGGUCAUUUUAUUUUCAUAAAACUUAUCUUGAGCUUUUUAUCUCAUUUCACUAUCAGAUUAGCCCCAAUUCCUGCUAUUUCUUAAUCUUUAGGAUUUUUUUUCUAGACUCUACACCCAUUUUAUUCUUUUCUCAUAACUACCCCGUGGAUUUUUUGUUUUUUUACCUUCAGUUUCUUUUGUAAAGUGGAGAUAAUGACAGCAGAUACUCUGGUAACAUCUGUAAAGUAGGGCUAGUGAUAGCAUACAUCCCAUGGGAGUGUUUUGAUGAUUAAGGAGACAACAGUGUGUAUAAAGUGCUACUGUAGAGCAAGGAGCUGAAAGUCUCCAGUCUUGUCUUUUUAAUACUUUGCCUUUAAGCCACAUGUGGCAGCUGUUGGCAACAUGAGGGGUGUUUGGCCUGAAUCGAGACGUGCUGUGGGUAUAAAAUACAUUCUGGAUUUUGAAGACUUAGUAUGAAAAAAUGUAAACUAUCUCAACUUUUUUUCUUAUUACAUAUUAAGAUAAUGUUUUGGCUAUAUUGGGUUAAAUAAAAUACAUUAUUAAAACUAA